UCUUGGGCUAAAUAAGCAAGAAAAAAAAAAAAUUCGUUCUCGUCCGAUCACGAAAGUUUUAAACAGCGCUGGGCACGGAUAGUACUUGGAUGGGUGGCCGCUUGGGAACUCCGUGUGGUGUUAGCU
rnacentral:rRNA from 13 species